rnacentral:lncRNA from 1 species
CUCCCUCUCUGCAGUUGUGCUGGGUCCCCUGUCCCUUGACGGGUCUGGUCUCGAGACCGCAACUCAGGACACCCUAAGCUCCAGAAGGGCUGUCCCAGCUCCAGGGCUGCCCCAUGGAGUCAGCUGAGGCCCCGGUGCGGCUGCAUCCGGCCCAGGUCCUCCUGCCGCACCGGGCGGUCCCGACCGGGCUCAGGCUCGCUCUGCUCAGAGCCUGCUUUCUGAGGACACGGCCAAGGCAGCCUCUUCCUUCAUCCUCUUUCCUGGAUGCUCAUGGCAUGGCUGGCGAGGAAGCCGCCGUCUUGGAGACCAGAGUACGUGGAUACCGCGGGCUGGGCUGGAGGGAGCCUGGGUCCCCGGGGGCUUGGUGGGGCGUGGGCUCUGCCCAGCUCUGGCCACCUAUCUCCAGGCCAUCGCGUGAGAACUUCUGCUGCUGCUGUUUUGGGGCUCGCUACGUCAACUAACACAGCCUCUAGUUCACCCAGUCACCCCAGGAACUAGUCUGGUUGUCCUUUUAAAGAGGUGGGACCCCAGGCUUCGCGAAAGUAAGUCGCGUGUGAGUUAGAAAGUGAGGCCUGGCUCAGUGUGUCCCCUGACCCCUGGCCUCUCUCCCUGUCACUGCCACUUCAGCACCAGUGCCACCUCCCACUCCUGCACCUGGCCAGCCUGGACCGUAGCACCGUUACUGUUUGGUCACUUGGGGCAACUCCCUUUGCACCGCCUCCCCGGUGCUGUCCCUGAGGGCGAUGAAUUAUUGCCCAGAGCCAGCUCGGGGCAACCUUGACUCACUCGGGCGCAAGGAGGUCCUCCAGCUGGAACCUUCUCCCCAUGCUGGAGCCGAUUUCAACAUGAUGGGAAAAAUGGCUCAGAGUGAGUUUGUCCUGGCAUCACUCUCCAGCCUCCUGGCAUCCCAAGGCCCCACGCUCCUGCUCUGUGCCCGGUGACUCCCAGGCCUGUUCAGGGUUUGGCUCAGAUGGCCCUUCCUCCAGGAAGCCCUCCAGACUUUCUCCAGCCUGCUCCGGGGUGCAUUCCCCUGCAGGGCCUUAUCCCAGCCUCCUUAUUGCUGGACAGUGAGCCCGUCAAGCUCUCGGCCUGGGCUGCGUCGUUCUCUCUUGUAGCUCCGGCCUCCUGCACGCUGCGCAGGAUGCGGGGAACACGUGUCCUGAAUGCUCACAAGGGGAGAGAAGGGAACACUUAGAGCCCAGGGGGCUGGGCCGCGCUACCGCUCUGGCGGCGGUGAAUUAACUGGUGGUAUCUGGGGCCUGGCCAAGGAAGGCAGCGUGCUGGGGGGCGUGGGAGACCUGGACUCAGCUUCCAGCUUUGCCAGUAACUUGGGGAGGUGGUAACUCACACGGGCGAACGUCCCGUCACCACCUGCUGCGUAGGGAGCUGUCGCCUGUCACCUCAGGCCCGCCGGGAAGGAAGGGACAGUUGCCGUCCUGAGACAGAGGCCGUGCAGGCAGGAGUGGAGGCGCCUUCCUCCCGCUCGGGGUCCGACUGUGGGCUCUGCCCCGUGGGGUCCUGGUGCUCAGUUCAGCUCUGCGCUGUGGUCCUUUGUCUGCUGCGCUGGAGCCGGGCCCCUGAGCCUGCUUCCUCACCCGCCCGGGCCGGACGUCCAUUGGCAGGGGUAUUUGGACGGCAAGACUGCCUGUCCCCGUCCACCCCACGUCCCACGGCCAGGGUUCCCGGGCCAGCCCACGCGAGCCAGGUCUGCCUGGGCCGCCGCCAGGCGCGAGGCUUCCCUGUGUCCCAGGGGAGGUCCCAGGCCACGGCACCUCCACACCUGCAGGCAGGUGCUGCUGGCGCUGUCCUCCCUGAGAGGUGGUUGGGGUGCUCGUCGUCCAGCCAAGGAGCAAGGGCUGAGGUGCGGGGAGGAUUCGCCAGCCGUGCAGAGUUGGCGCUGAGCCGGCGAGUGUGCAGAGCUCCCGCCCACCUGUCCGAGGCUCAGGAAAGGCCAGCAGGGGUAACGCUGGUGCACGUCCACACGGGAGGCACAGGGGCCGCCACGUCUCGUGCCAGCGAGGGCUGUCACAUAUUGAAGGUGCCUUGAGUUGGGUGCUGUGCCAAGUGUCUCCCGUGUCCCAUCCAGAGAGGGACACAAGGAGGCUUGUGGGAUGGGAGGGAUUGCCGACACACCCCAGACUUGGGAGAGAAGCAGGAGCACCCCCUGCCCCCCCCACCGAGCCUCCAGAAGGAACCUGCCCGCUGACACCUUGACUUUGGACUUCUGGCCUCCACAGCGGCGAGAGGAUAUGUUUCUGUUGUUGAAGCACCAGCUCCUCCCCUCUUGUGGGCCAACCAGCAGGUGACCCCAGGAAGUCUCACAGCUGCGAUGGGCAGAGCCAGGAUUCAAAGCCCCGUCUGCCUGCCUGGGGCCCCGGUGCCGUGCCGACGCAGGACGCCCCUGUUUCUCCCACGCCCCCCUGCGUGCCCCUGCUCAGUCCUCAGCGUCCCCGCACUGAGUGUCUGCGUGGGGCCCCAUCCUGUCCUCUGCCUCCGUCCCCGCCAGCAGCCCUGAGUGGGCUCGAUUGUUCCUGAUAGCUUCCUGCCCCAGACUGCAUCGUCUCUAACCCCACUUCCUCUCACCGCUGCUCAGCAGAACCGCUCCACCCGGGCUCGCAGGGCGCCCUCACCUGGCCUGACCCCACUGAGGCUCAGAGAAGUUAGGGCACUUGCCCAGCGUCACACAGCUGGGAAGGGGCAGAGCCCGAGCCACAUUCAGACAGAUUGGAGUCCUGAGGCCGUGCUCGGAGCCCGCUGCUUUACCUGUGGACAGUACAGCCCUCACCUGGCAUUGGCACUCGCCGUCCCGAGAGACAGAGGCCGUGCAGGCAGGGGCGGAGCCUCGGCUGGUGACUGCCCUGUGACAUCACACUCAAGGGGCCCCCUGGACUCAGAGUGUGACCGCAUCCCAGGCCUGGACACGCAGGACACGCCUGGCCUGCUGGGGAGGGUGGCCUCUGUUCCCUGCUUGAGCCUGGCCAUGACCCGGGACCCCAAGGCGCAGCAAGCAGCUGAGGUCCCGAUGCCCGCCUUCGCAGCCGCUCCCCUCCGCUGCCGUCCUCCCCCUGCUGACAGCCACCUCUCAUCCCGGCCGGUUGAGCUCAGCUCUCAGCACCUCAGCACCGCGAGGUGGAAUUUCCCUGGUCAUCCCGUCUGUGUUACGUGCUCUUGGUAGAAAACUUAGGAAAAUCAGAGACGCCGGAGACGAGGCUGUGGGUGAUCCCGCCUCGGAGAUGACUCGAGAAUACGUGUGUCCUUGUUCCCGCCGCAGAUGUCCCUUUAAACACAUGCUCUGCAGCACUCGUUCUGCUUAGACGUUACGUUUCCAAUCUCAUUUUGUCUUAGGCAGCCCUGUCGGGUUUGCAUCCUCGCAGCCCCGUUUUGUGGAGCCGAGGUGAAGUAACUUGUUCCAGAGGGACAGACGGUGACGGAAGCGCAGCGGGGUGCAGCGUGUGUGCUCCCACCCGCAGAGACAACCCUGUCCCUCCCUGUGCCUCUCACACGUGGACACGCGCACACACGUAGGUGCAUACGGACAGAGAGAUAUAGGUGAACGAAGCGUCGCAAACUUUGUCUAUGAUAUUAACAGAGCAGGAGUGUAUUUCUAUUUCACUGCAUAGAAUCCCCCCUCCUCUCUCGACCGUCCCUGAAAGGGUGGGCUGUCUAGACAAACACUGCAGCCUCGAGCACCUUCGAGUUAACUCUCUCUGCACACGUCCUUAAUCAUUUCCUCUCUAUGAACCCCUAACAGCGGGGAACUCAAGUCACUGUUUAUUCAUACUUGCAGGUUGGGUAGUCAUUGCUAAAUCUCCUUCCAGAAAAGCCGAACACAUUUACAUGUCCAAUAGCUGGGUCUGAGCAGGAGCGACGCGCUUUUGAAAACUCUUUCUUC